rnacentral:misc_RNA from 1 species
UUUCCGUAGGUGAACCUGCGGAAGGAUCAUUAUUGUAUAAAAGAGACACCAGGACUCUCGUUGACCCGACUGGUGUUGCACGCCCGAGAGCGCUCACACACAUCCAUCGCACCCCUAUGUCCACCAGCGCGCUGGCCGCGCUUAGGCUUGCUCGGAGGGGGUCUUACGCUCUCACACAAACUUAGAAUGCAGUGUAGAAUGUAUUUAUUGUUUUUGCGAUCACGCAAACAAUACAACUACCAACAACAGAUCUCUUGGCUCCCGCAUCGAAGCAGACCC